GAUCAGCUCAGGACGAACGCUGGCGGCGUGCCUAACACAUGCAAGUCGAACGGAGAAUUUUAUUUCGGUAGAAUUCUUAGUGGCGAACGGGUGAGUAACGCGUAGGCAACCUACCCUUUAGACGGGGACAACAUUCCGAAAGGAGUGCUAAUACCGGAUGUGAUCAUCGUGCCGCAUGGCAGGAUGAAGAAAGAUGGCCUCUACAAGUAAGCUAUCGCUAAAGGAUGGGCCUGCGUCUGAUUAG
rnacentral:rRNA from 1 species